rnacentral:lncRNA from 13 species
GAAUAGUUCCCUUUUUUUUCCUAGCAAGCGAGAGUAUGUAGUGCUGAGAGUUACAUUGUAUCCUCAUGCAAUAUUAGCUUCUCAAGAAAGUUCUCAGAAUAUAUUAAGACAUAAGAUGGUAUAGCUGUGAUUACUUGAGACCAUAAAACCUUGUCUUGUUUGUCAUUCCUACUCCUAUAUUCCUGUGCAAUGCUUCCAGCUUCCUUUCAGAAGCUAAAACAACAGAGACAAAGCUUGCGUCCUGAUUGACUGAUGGGGUACUGAAAAUUAUUAGUAGGCCUUACAAACACCAUUGAUUUUUUUAAAAAACUCCUCAAAUACUAGCACCUCAUCUUUGUAUUUGAAACAAGCAUUUGUCUGUUUGUUGUGUUAAAUGUAGGUAGGCAUCUACACACUGAUAUCAGCAGACUCUGAGGAGCUCACAAGUGUAUUUCAAAUUCACUUCAACAAGGGCACCAGGCACUGUUAUAAGGAUUUCGUAAAAAUCCGUCCUUUAGAAUCUUAUUUGAGUGUCUGCAUGAUGAAGAUGUGAAAGAAGAAACUGAGCGAUAUUGAACAUCACAGGUGAGAUUGAUAAGGAAUAUGGCUCUUACCAUUGGGAAGUAUUUAGGGGUACUGAA